rnacentral:rRNA from 1 species
GACGAACGCUGGCGGCGUGCUUAACACAUGCCAGUCGAACGGAAAGGCCCUGCUUUUGUGGGGUGCUCGAGUGGCGAACGGGUGAGUAACACGUGAGUAACCUGCCCUUGACUUUGGGAUAACUUCAGGAAACUGGGGCUAAUACCGGAUAGGAGCUCCUGCUGCAUGGUGGGGGUUGGAAAGUUUCGGCGGUUGGGGAUGGACUCGCGGCUUAUCAGCUUGUUGGUGGGGUAGUGGCUUACCAAGGCUUUGACGGGUAGCCGGCCUGAGAGGGUGACCGGCCACAUUGGGACUGAGAUACGGCCCAGACUCCUACGGGAGGCAGCAGUGGGGAAUAGUGCACAAUGGGCGGAAGCCGGAUGCAGCAACGCCGCGUGCGGGAUGACGGCCUUCGGGUUGUAAACCGCUUUCGCCUGUGACGAAGCGUGAGUGACGGUAAUGGGUAAAGAAGCACCGGCUAACUACGUG